rnacentral:ncRNA from 1 species
GUCGAGCCUAGGUCGGCCACCCGAAAAAACCGGACACCUUCAUCGGCUGGCUCGGCGUUUUUCGUGAAGG